UCCUACGGGAGGCAGCAGUGGGGAAUAUUGCACAAUGGGCGCAAGCCUGAUGCAGCCAUMCCGCGUGUGUGAAGAAGGCUUUCGGGUUGUAAAGCACUUUCAGCGAGGAGGAAAGGUUGUAAAUUAAUACUUUGCAGCUGUGACGUUAGUCGCAGAAGAAGCACCGGCUAACUCCGUGCCAGCAGCCGCGGUAAUACGGAGGGUGCAAGCGUUAAUCGGAAUUACUGGGCGUAAAGCGCGCGUAGGUGGUUGUCUAAGCGAGAUGUGAAAGCCCCGGGCUCAACCUGGGAACUGCAUUUYGAAMUGGGCGACUAGAGUACGAKAGAGGAUAGUGGAAUUUCCAGUGKAGCGGUGAAAUGCGUAGAGAUUGGAAGGAACACCAGUGGCGAAGGCGACUGUCUGGCUCGAUACAGACACUGAGGUGSGAAAGCGUGGGUAGCAAACAGGAUUAGAUACCCUGGUAGUCCACSCCGUAAACGAUGUYUASUAGCCGUUGGGCUCCUUGAGAGCUUUGUGGCGCAGCUAACGCGAUAAG
rnacentral:rRNA from 1 species